rnacentral:rRNA from 1 species
GACUAACGCUGGCGGCGUGCUUAACACAUGCAAGUCGAACGGAAAGUCCCUGCUUUUGUGGGGUGCUCGAGUGGCGAACGGGUGAGUAACACGUUAGUAACCUGCCCUUGACUUUGGGAUAACUUCAGGAAACUGGGGCUAAUACCGGAUAGGAGCUCCUGCUGCAUGGUGGGUGUUGGAAAGUUUCGGCGGUUGGUGAUGGACUCGCGGCUUAUCAGCUUGUUGGUGGGGUAGUGGCUUACCAAGGCUUUGACGGGUAGCCGGCCUGAGAGGGUGACCGGCCACAUUGGGACUGAGAUACGGCCCAGACUCCUACGGGAGGCAGAAGUGGGGAAUAUUGCACGAUGGGCGGAAGACUGAUGCAGCAACGCCGCGUGCGGGAGGACGGACUUCGGGUUGUAAACCGCUUUCGCCUGUGACGAAGCGUGAGUGACGGUAAUGGGUAAAGAAGCACCGGCUAACUACGUG